UUUUAUGGACGUUCAUCGGAGCAGAAAAAAAAAUAAUAUUCGUAUAAAAGAUUACCCAGCUUGAGAAAAGAUUUACAUUUUGAAUCAUCGAGGUGCAAUUAAGAAGACAGUCUAGACUUCGUACGGCCUCACGCUUGGCGAAUACUUUAAAUGGACGUUUCUAAAAAUACUGGCAUGCUCCGAGUGCUAGCCUCGUCGUCUGAAAUUUAGUAUCAUUAUGUGGUCUCUUCGAGGCGGAACAAUCUCACGGAAUUGUCACGAAUGAAAUGACAAUCCGACGUCGCGUUAAUUCUCCACGAUAAAUUAUGAAACAGGUGCAACAGGAUAUCUUUCGCCUGCGUGUAAAUACAGAAUUCACUGUUUUCCUUGUUAAUUAUAUUGCAUAUAUUAUCAAUUUCAAAAUGGUUUAAUAAGUGAUCGUAAAUUACGUAUUGUAUUGAAGUUAACCUCUAAAAAUAUCAUUAAAUUUGUCCAUCAUCGUUCCAAGAAAAAAAUUAAUCGUAAUAUUUCAGACGUAUAACAUUAUAACACUGAUUGUUAUUGAGAUUUAAAUUCUUUCUGUUCAUCGGAUGAAUGAAUUUCUGAUAAAGAGUAUUUAUGCAAGUAACAUUUCGUUUGCGACACGACGAUUACUUAGCAUCACGGAUAGAAGAGGAGGAGAGCAACGAGAAAAGAGUGAGAGACGGAGAGAGGCUCAGCUUUGUGGUUUGUUGUCUAACUAAUUCAAGGGAAGCGAACUGCCUCAGGUCGCAAUCGAUAAUUCUCGCUUGAAUCGUUUAAUCACGUUUUAUCAUUUGUCGUUUUGAUAUCGUUAAUUGUUAUCUCUCCGACACGAUUAUUCUGUUUAAUUAAUUAAGUUAAAAGAAAAGCAUCUUUGUCUCUCUUGUCAACUCGAUAUAUACGUGUCGGUGAUGCUCGCCAAACUCGUUUAAAUAUCGAUGGUGUUGUUAGUUUUCUUUUAAUUAUCUCUACCAACGCUCGCCUCGAAUGGCCUAAAAUUCUCGGCUUGGCUGGAAACGGUCCAUUUACGCGCACGUAUUUGAUUGCAGGCUAUUCGAGAGGGGAAGCGUUCAGCCGGCGAGAAACAAGAAGUAACGGGGGGCAUAGAAGUGGCGAGGAGGAGGAAAGUAGGACGAGCAACGUCUUCUCCUCGAGUAGCCUCGACUAUUCUUUUUUUUUCCAAGAGCGUAAUUGCCGGUUUUCGAA